CAACUCUCUGUCAUGGCUUGAAACAUGCCGCUAAGAGGUUUACAAAAACAAGGGUUGUAGACGAAGACAUCACUCAAGUAAUGGUGACAACGCAUGCGUUAACAUCCAAGAGGAGGCAAUAAGACCCAAGGAUUCGAUUACCUCCUUAUAGAGGGUACAGCACCCCUACCAGGUGGAGCUCCACGACCAGCAGCCUGAGCCUGCACAGUAAACAAGUUCAAUAGUCAGGCCACUCGUUAAUAAAGAGGUCACAACUUGUUAAGUAUGCUAUAGAUCAAACAUCUUGUGAUCCAGCAGAGUCUAAAACAAAGGUUUUAUUUUUUAUGCAUGUCAUGAAAACCAAAUGUUCUGAAACGUGAUUUUGUACAAAAUAAUUACAGAUGCCAAAUCAUUG